rnacentral:lncRNA from 1 species
CUCAAAAACGCUUAAACACAUUCAAAAACGCAAAAAAAUACUCUCAGUUUAUUCUCCGUUCACACUUUCAAAAUUCUACACUCUCAGAUGUAGAUGUAUUGAUUGAUUACCCACCUUCAUUCUCUUUUUAUCAUUCCACUAUGGUUCACUUAGAGAGAUAAGGAGGCUAGUAAGAGAAAGUUGUUUUACAAGUCAAGUUCACUAAUUUCUUAAUGUUAUUGCGAAAGAAGUCUCAUGUUCGAGUGUCAUUAAAUUGUAGUUCAAGCUAUUAGGGAGUUUCAAGGUUGUUCUUACCAAACUAAUUCAAAUGAGGUUAAAGCCUUGCAUCAUCACAACCGCCAUUGCAGGUCGGUCUAGGGUUUCUGCGAAAGAGAUAGUAAGUAUUCUCAUCCUUUAAAUUUGCGAAAAGUUAUAGAAUAUGCAUAAAUAAAGUAUUCACAGAGAUACAAUAUUCGAAUAAAUAGUUUUCACAUAUAUAUAGUUUUCACAACGCUGUGAUCGUGAAUAGAUAAUUGUGAGUAGUAACUGCGAAUGGUAUUUGUGAAUGGAUACUAUUCGCAUGGUAAAGUAUUCGCAUAGCCCACACGGAAAGUUCUAAGACUUAUGCGAAAUGUUGACCAUUUCACGCGUGAACCUUUGAUCAGAUUUGUCUUAAAUGUCCGGGCAUUCAGGGAGGGUCAAUAUUUUCGCAGGUGAGUUUCUAGACCUCUCUUCAUUGACUAUUUUGGGGGCAACGUGCAUACUCGGUAUAGCGUUUUAAAACAUGUAUGAAUUUUUUAUAUAAAAAAAGUAAUAGUUUUGGCUUUUAGUCAAAGGUUUCGGUAAUCAUUUCAUAAGACAUGUCAAGUUAACAUUUCUCUGAGAUGCAAGCCUAAAGCUCUAUAAAGUUAAAAAAUGUGAUAAAGAAGUAAAGGGUAAAGUAACUAAAGUAUGCAUGUAAUGAUAGUUAAGCUAAUGAAGACUUAUUGUAUUUAAAGUUAAUGUCGGUGUCCAAAGUUAACACUGAAGUCUCAACUUUAUCUAAGGUUAACGCAGUAGUUAUAUGCAUCUAAAGUUAACGGCCAUGACCAUGAAAUAGGGGUAGUGCCUUUGUGGCUUGUCGGUACGUAUUUUAUAUCUAUGCAUGUUAAAGUUCAUAGUAAAGUGCUAUGUUAUAUUAUGUAAGGUAAUGUGUUAUAAUGAUGUCUCAUAGGAGUAUGUUAUGAUAAUGCUUGUUAAAGUUUAUUGGUGCCUUAUUAAAUUAGAACUCACUUAAUAUAGUUGAGCUUUAGUAAACACAGUAGGUUUAAGUAUUUUGCUUGUGAGCUUGUAGACGUCUAGACAUCAGUUGAAGGCUUACUCCCCACCCCACCCCCCAACCCCCACCCCCCACCCCCAAUACUUGACUAACAUCCUAGUUAUGUUUUGUUCUAGACAUUUAAGUUUUUAACUUAUGGGUAUAUACAUCGCAAUGAGUAAAUUCAACAAUUUGAGGCGUUUCAUACGUGUCCAUAAAUUUUUAAACAUCCUUCAGAGCACUUUCAAUGUAGAUUCUCACUUAGCUAACACGCCAACAAUUUAAUUAUUCUUUAUUUUAUCUCUAGUUCAUCAUCAUCAUUAUCCUUUACAUUUUAGUUGUAUAACAAAGUUAUUUAUUAUAAAAUUAUAUAUAUUUUAAUUAUAGGGGAUAGUUCAAAUGAAAACCACUUUUAUUGUGAAAAACUCGAAAACUAACUCAAAAAAGCCUAAAAAACACACCAAUUUUUUUUUCAAUUUUUUUCAAAAAAAAACUGUGUGUAGUAUGUGCACUACAAAUUUUUUAUUUUUUUUUUGAAAAUUUUUUUAUAUACAUAAACAUGCGAAAAUUG